UUUUCUUGUCUCGUCCACUGGGUGUUAGCCACAGCCUGUCCCCAGGCCCCACGGCUGGUUUGGGGGCUGCCACCUGGGCCCGUUGCUUCUCCUUCACCUCUUCAUGUCACUGCUCAUCUCCACGAACCACCUUCCACCGAAAACCGCGCUGCAGGUCAGCCCUGUCCUCGGCACACUGGCCGUGACCUGGCUGGGUCGGCUGAAGAACCGGAUGGAAGAGGCAGAAAGAAGCCCCCAGAGGAGCGCCGCCCUGCACCACCCAGCCUUCCUUGCUGAUGGUCACCUGGCAUCUCAUGCCCAGCCCUGUGCCUCUUCACUUCUUCCUGCUUUGGGUUGGAAGACGCCAUCUGGAAUCCUCCGUGGAAGGAGAGACCUGGACGCACGACUUAGCACCCUCCAGCUUUCAAAUCGGCAGACUAGGAUGGAAGUGCCCUUGUGAGCUGGGGGGCCCUUCAAAGGGCCAAGGAAAAAACGCGGGCCGAGGGACCAGCCUCUCAAACGGGCUUCGAGCUCCAAUGACCUUCGCUCACCCCCUUGAAAUGUCUGGAAAACAGAAUGGGCAGAUUUUCUGUCUUCAA
rnacentral:lncRNA from 1 species